UAAAUCCCAAGUAAGGUACCUGCCGUCGGCAGAUUUGAGCUUUCUUCUUGGACACCUCAUACCCACAGUCCUCCAGGAUAACUUCAGGAAGUGGGUAUUAAUUCUCACGGUAUAAGUGAAGACAUUAAGCACCAGAGUUUAAGUAGCUUGAUCCACUGAAAGAGAUUCAACUGUGUGGAACCUAUGCCACGGAGAAUUGCUUUCUGCCAUUGUUAUCGUCCAGCAGUUGCCGAAUAUCUCUGACCUGAGCAAAGCAGUGAAACGCGGUGCUGUUGAGUGGGUUGCCACUGCACCUUUUUCAACUACUCUAGUCUUGUGGAGAAAA
rnacentral:lncRNA from 1 species